rnacentral:misc_RNA from 1 species
GAACUGCGAUAAGUAAUGUGAAUUGCAGAAUUCAGUGAAUCAUCGAGUCUUUGAACGCACAUUGCGCCCCCUGGCAUUCCGGGGGGCAUGCCUGUCCGAGCGUCAUUGCUGCCCUUCAAGCCCGGCUUGUGUGUUGGGUCGUCGUCCCCUCCGGGGGACGGGCCCGAAAGGCAGCGGCGGCACCGCGUCCGGUCCUCGAGCGUAUGGGGCUUUGUCACCCGCUCGAUAAGGACCGGCCGGGCGCCAGCCGGCGUCUCCAACUUUUUUUUCUCAGGUUGACCUCGGAUCAGGUAGGGAUACCCGCUGAACUUAAGC